rnacentral:tRNA from 1 species
CAGUAAAUAGUUUAAAUAAAAUAUUAAUUUUGGAGAUUAAUGAUAAGCUCUGCUUUUUACUGA